UACAGAGGGGGCAAGCGUUGUUCGGAGUUACUGGGCGUAAAGGGUGUGUAGGCGGUUGCUUAAGUUUGGUGUGAAAUCUCCCGGCUCAACUGGGAGGGUGCGCCGAAUACUGAGUGACUCGAGUGCGGGAGAGGAGAGUGGAAUUCCUGGUGUAGCGGUGAAAUGCGUAGAUAUCAGGAGGAACACCGGUGGCGAAGGCGGCGUCCUGGACCAACACUGACACUGAUGAGCGAAAGCCAGGGGAGCAAACGGG
rnacentral:rRNA from 1 species